GCUUUCCUUGUCUUGAGUGAGCUGCUCAAUGAAUGUCUAGUGAGAGUAGUCCUGCUGACACCAUAACAACACAUAUGCAUCAUCUGGGCUCCUGCCCAGAGUGUGGUGCAAUUUUUGGAAAC